UUGAAGGUGUUAUGUACAAGUACAGGCUAGUCAGGAAUAGCUGGAUUGUUUCCACAUCUGGCCUAAUCAUUUGAAUAACCCUGCCGAGUGAAAGCGAACCAACUCCUCCCUGCCUGCAAAUCCCCUCCGAGGACAGAGCAGCCGCACUGCCACCGCGUGUUCCAUUUGAGGAAUAGGCAUCCCAGCGCCGCCGCCUUGCUGCCAUUCCUCUCCGGGGUAAAACUUGCAAAGCAGAUUUAUAGAGUACCGAGGAAAGAGUUAACUUCACCCUUAGACAUCUGAGAUAACUCCGAACAUGCUGUGCCAGCAACCGUUGGAAUUUACACCCCUUUGUCAACUCUAGACAAUAACUCCAGAUGGGAUCUGGGAGCUUUGUAAAGCACUUCCUGAAAAUCUGAAGAAAUCCGGCCAAAUGUAUCCCUGAUGUGAAGCCACUGGUAAUAAUGGAGAUACAGCAAGAAUAAACAUUGAUUUGGUGCCCACUAAAUCUGUUUCAUUUCAUUUUGGCAGAAUGUUUAUGAAAAUUUUUAAAACAAAUCAGUCAGUCUCUCCAUAAUCUGAAUCCAGCAUGGCCAUUCUUAGUCAAGCUGUGCUUUUUUGACAUUCGCUAAACUUAAUUUAUCCCUAGAAAUGUUGCUGAUGAUAACUUAUCAUAAUGAUAAUGAUGAUAAUGUUGAUGAUAACUGUUGCUACAAUAAGGUCAUACCUCAAUGGACAUUUUAAACUGGACUAUUUGUUCAGCUGAAGAACAAGUGAAGCAGACAAAGAUAUUUUCUGCCUGGAUUUGAGCUGGAAGAAGGGACUGCAUGAAGUUAAGCAGUGUCUGCCGGAUCUUGGGUAUGCAAUGGCCAGUAAUUUAACUGGAGAGGUCACUGGGGGCAUCUUGUGUUACUGACAUGUCUCAUGACAGCCUCUCUAAAACCCCUGCUGAAAGUUUUCCUGACUAGACGUGGAAUCAGCCACAGCCAGGGAUUGGAAUGUCUUCCCGAGUUCUGUUUUUUAACAUGGAAAAGACACCAAAGGCUCCCAGUUGUUAAAUCAAUGUUUUGUAAUUAAAAUAAAAUAAUAAAUCAGGGCAUGACAAUUAUUUAAGCUAGUUUUCUAGUUAAAUAGUUAAAACAGAUUAUAUAUAUAUAUAAAUAUAUAUAAUAUAUAUAUAUAUAUUUAUUUAUUUCCGCCCCCUCCCCCCCUGGUUAGUUUUCUGUGAGAUUGGCAGCUGAAGGAGCAAGAUCAAAUCUUCUGGCAGGCAAGUAAUGUGAAAUGGCCCCCUGAGUUUUGGCUGUGGCUUUGUUCUCUCUUGCAGGCUGCCCCUCACUUAGUUUCUCAGUCCCUGUUGCUACUUCAUGCUGUUUCUCAGUGCAUACUGUCCUAUUUGCCCGUGUGCUCCAGAUGGUUCCCUCAAGCUCAGCAUUUUAUCUUGCUUUUGAGGAAAAAGGCAACUCUUCCUUUCUCCCUCUCUUCAAAGAGUUCCAUAUAACUCCAGUGCAGUAGGCCAGAAGAGAUGGACCUUUCUUUCUCGUGAGCAGCCAAACACAACAAAAUGCAUGCUACCAGAAGCAAAUUAAGUAAUUUUGUCAAAAAAUAUGUGGGCCUAUAUAUAUGUAAAAUACACACAUGCAACUGCAUAAAAAACAAAAAUUAGUGUCUGUGCAGAAGCUGCAGACAGCUGGAAAACAUGCAUGAGUUACUUUCCAUUAGCUUUCCUCUCACUACUGGGAUUCAUCCCCAGCAGCUUGCUUAUUCCCUCCUGCUCUGAGUCAUUUAGUCCCUCUUCUUCCCAUCACAGGAAAAUAUUUGAAAAAAUGUCUUCACAGUAUCUAUGCUAUGUUCCAUAGCUCUGAAACAAGAUCUUGGCAGCAUUUCAGACGAAGAAAGUUACACACUAUUUAUGUAGAUGUAGGGUGCUGUAGCAGCUUUCUAGGAUUUUUUUUUUUGUCAUUGCUUGGUUGAUUUUGUUUCUGUUUCUGUUUUUGUUCUUUGCAUUCUCUCCUACCCCAUUGUGCAGGCUGCUCUGAGGUCUUGGAUCUGAUGUUCAGUGCUAUGCCAUGUUCUGCUUUGAGGGGAACCCAGGGGAGUUCACUGGGGAGGAAGAAACUCUGGAUUUCUGGUCUACUCACAGCUAAGAAACAGGACUACAAAUACAUUUUUCCACAGACUUUGAGCUUUUAACCUCUUGCUAUUUUGCAUGAUCAAAAUAUGAAAGAAUGAAUAAUUUAUCAUUUAACCAUUGUUAUUAACAUAUUCCCAGAACUGCAGUACUACUGUGCUCAUUGUUCCACCUUCUAAUCGAUUGUUGUUUACACUGUGGGUGAGGAACAAAAUUGUCCUGGGUUUCUCCCUGGUGUUCUAAUGUCCCAAUCAUUUGGUUAGGGAAUUUGGCCACAGAAUAAUGCUGCUGCACAGUAUAACAGUUAAAUUUGUGGAGCCACACUUCCUUCCUCUGAAAGCCAAGGUGUGAGGAGGGAGACAAGGGGGGACUACUGUGUCUGGCAUCCUUGUACAAGCUGAAUUUGGCUAUGACACAGGCUGUCUCCACCUUAGGAACGCUCUGGAGUCCACCAGUUCAGAAAUAGCCAGAAUAAGUCAGUCCAGCAGACAGGGCAGAGAAAAGCUGUAUGACAACUCCUAUCUUGCCAGUCAGAAAAUGGAAAAAAUAAAAACCUCCAAAAGAUCUAUUUCAUUUUGCCUGAAGUCACAAAGCUCUUGAAUCCUGAGCUCCAGUCCAGGACUUCAAGACUUUUGCUGGCAAUUCAUUCAUUUUAAUUAUGAAUUUCCUUGGUUCUUUGAUACAUUCUUGUUACAUUUAGUCAUCAAAAGACUCCUUAUCUUGUAGCAAUAAUGUUGUUCAGCUAGGUAGGAGAAUCUUCUGUUUGUAUUUUGGUGUCUUACAAAGGAGACGUGCUUAAGAAAUAAAUAUUAUCUUCUAUUUUGUAGGGAUAACAGUAUAUAUUAUUAGAGGCUUCAAUAUGAAAUAAAUGUGAUUAACAAAAAGAAACAAUCUAUGCAUCAAACACUGAAUAUUUUGCAUAAGCAGAACUACAAUUGUUAAACAGAAAGCUUUGUGUGUGGCUUUUCUUCAAAACUGGUUUAUAAUUGCUGGCAUUAUGUCUUGUUGAUUACUGAAUGUAGCAGAAAAGUGUGAUGGUGCUUGUCAGCCACUUUUUCUACACAGUGAUAUUCUUUUUAGAAAUGAUACAACCUUGUAGCCUACUGAGAAAUAAAUUAAAAACACCGAGAUGUAUUCCCUGAAUUGAAUUACUGGUGAAAGUUACAGUUGCUCAAAAUAUUGCUUAUUUUCCUUUUACAAAAAAAGGAAAGGACUAAGAAUG